GUAGGUGAACCUGCGGAAGGAUCAUUACAAAUCCUUUCACUCUUUACGAGUACCACGUUGAAUUGUAUGUGUGAGCGAGCGAACCUUUAGGGGAUCGCUCGCCAUCAUCACAACCUAGUUGUUUCUUGUUGAUCAAGUGUAACAGAAGAGGCGGAGAGAACCGCAGCGACGCGUCCGCGUGUCCGCCGCAAGGGCUCACCCCUCAUCACAAUCUAGUACAACUUAUAACAAUGGAUCUCUAGGCUCUUGC
rnacentral:misc_RNA from 1 species